rnacentral:lncRNA from 1 species
UCCAGCGACAAGAGAGAACCUCCUGAGAGGUUUGGUAGAAUCUCCUUGUCAGGGGAUUCGGGUUUCGGUCCCACCCCUGAGAGGGAGUCCUCCCACACUCAAGCCCUUCCUUUUCUUCCCUCUCCCCUGGUUCUCUCCUGAGCCCGCCCUUUGCCCUAGUUUCUCCUCUUAGGGGUGGGGGUUGGGGGGAAUGGAGCUGGGCUUGCCAGUAGGGUUGUCAUAUUUAGCAGUAAAAAUACAGGAUGCUAGUUCAAAUUUAAAUUUCACAUAAACAAUACAUAAUUCUUUAGUAUAAUAUGUGUCCGAUAUCAAAUAAAAUUAAAAUAUAAAAACAUCAUUUGUUAACUGUCUGAAAUUUAACUGGGCAUCCUGUUUUUUACCUGGCAAUCCUAGGCAAAAAUAGGAUUUAUGUACCUCCUAUUUACGGUAUCCUUUCAUAGCACUCCCAGUAUGGGGAGUGUUAUAAUCCAUGUUCUGAUGAACCCCAAAGGGUCUUGCUCAAGGUUAUGCAACUAGUAAGUAACCAGGCUGGGAUACCUUAAAAGCCCAUUUCAAUUCUGCUAUCUCUCGUCAGGUGUGCAAUUCAAGGAAAGACUCCUGGAGAGCUCGUCCAAUUGUUAGAAUGAAUCUCCUUAAUAAAAGCCAAUUUAUCUUUCAGAGGGGCUAUAGAGUUGUUUUAUAUUCAGGUUCUCUGCUGUGGCAUUUACCUUAUAUUUGGGGGAAGAAACUGUAUUAAACUGUCAAGGAAUAUUGAUUUACUAUAUGAUGAUGAAAGUAUAUUUUAUAUUAUUAAAUCACAAUAGCAUAUCAUUUGACUUUGACAUCAGUGAACAAGGUUAUGUUCAUACAGUAGACCCAUACAUCUCUGUAAGCAUAGUGAUUAAGGCAGUAUAGGGUAUUCUGAAAUGAGACAUACCUCGGUUCAAAGCCUAGCUUCACGAACACUUUGAUGCAGUAGGUAAGUUACAGAAUCUCUCUGGGCCUCUGUUUGCUCUUUUUAAAAAAGAAAUAGUAAUUAUAACCACUUCGUAGGGUUGUUGUACUAAAUUCUUAUCAAGUGCCUGGAACAUUUAAAUUAAUUAAUUUUAGCUAUGAUUUGCCAUUAUACUUUGAGUAUAAUGUGGAUUUUGGCAUAAAUCAUUAGAUAAUUAAAUGUUUUAAUUUUAGUUUUAAGUUGAAAAAAGCCAGUAAUUAAGAAUAUUAUGAAUAUUGUGAAUUUCAGUGAAAUGUACUAUUCAAUAAUAAAAGAGAUAUUUUAGAUAAUAUACCAGUUUCACUAAAUCAACUAUCUAUAAGCCAAGUUAAUAGAAUAAAAUAUUUGUAUAUCAGUCUCAGUAAUUGCUCCUCAUGUAUAAUUUUAUAUGAUUUUCAUUUUCAUUGUGUUAUAAACAGGAAGAAAACUUACCAAGCACCAACGGAGAGAAAAUAACUACAGGGUGAGGGGUAAAGCCAGAAAAUAGGUCUAUGAUCAGUGGCUGUUUAUGGUGAGGUAGACUUAGUAUGUUUUAAAAACCAAAUGUCAAGCUUUGUAGGAAUUUUAUAUUUCUUUGUAUAUUGUCUUAUUUCCUUAGUGUUUACAGUGUUAACUUAGUUCACUUACAAACUAUUCUCUAAAAUUCCUCUUGGGAACUUUUUUCAGUUUUUCUCUAAAAAACUACAAAAGCUUUCUACUACCUUGAAGGGAAUGUGGAAUUGUGAAAAUUGAAAUUAACAACUAUGGACUAUUAUCCAAAUAAUUGUAAACAAGUCACUGAACACAUCUGAGCCUUGCUUUAUCUCUAAAAUCAAAACAAAUGAAAACCUACCCCACCAUCCCCAAGGUUUAUAAAUGCUACCGAUUACUGUAACUCUUAUCCACCCGAAAAAAUUCCUCCAUGGAUGAAUCCAACUAUUUGGAUUUUUUGUUCCUGCUGCAGGCUUCCCAGAAGAGCUGGAGAAACUUUCACACUGGAAAGACUUGGUACUAAAAUAAAUUCAUGGUAGUCACCUUCACCUGGACUUUCACACCGCACAGCAGGCCCACUGUGUUUCUCUAACCACUCAUUCUUCCUUUUUAUGCAAUUGCGGUUUCAAAUCCUCUUCACUUCUUUCAAGCUUCUGACAUCCUUUGAAAGCCAUUCUCACUAAGUGACCUCUGUGUUAUUGAGAAAAUUGAGUACCUGAGCUUCUGAAUUUCCUGCUGGAAAAUCUGCCCACUGACCUUCAUCUGCAUCCAUCCAGCUUUCACUGAAUCCUAGUACCUUUGCCUGUGUUCUGAAUUCUUCCUUACUAUCUCAGGGACCUUUAUCAUCAGUUAUCCCUUAUGUCACCUGGAUGGUCAGCCACUGCCUCUAAAUCCUUCCCAUCCGCAUGUAAAUAUUCAUUCCUGCAGUCCCUUCUUCAGGGAACAGUUGUCAGUUACCAUUCUUCCACCCAUCUAAUACUCGAUUUCUUCUCCCAUUUGUAAUCAGUUUUAAAGAACUGUCUGCCCUGAUGUUUCUAUUUCUUUACUUCCCAUUCUCUUGGCAACCUGUUCCCGUUGUUCUUCCAUCCUCACCCCUCUGCUGAAACUAUUCCUGCUAAGGUCCCAAUAGUUUCCUUGUCCCUCAAUCCCAUGGACUUCUGACCUGUUAGGCAACAUUUCAUACCCUAAACCAGUGUUCGGGCAAACUGUAGCAUGUGGACCAAAUAUAGCUUCAGCAUGUUCUUAUAUGGCCUUUGAACUAAAAUAUUUUCAUCUAUCUGGCUCUUUACAGAAAAAGAUUGCCAACCCCUUCUAUAGUUCACUCCCUCCUUUUAAGAAUAAAUUCUUUUGGCUCUUCCCUUAUAAGUAAGUUUUGUUUUCUUUGUACUCUUCUCUCCUUUCUUUCUCAGUCUCUCUGUGGUUACCAGACCCUUAGAUGUUGGAAUUCCUCAACACUUUAUGUUGGAAGUGGGAUCUUCUGGAUCUCAUCUACUCCCAAACUUCUACCUCACAUUUUCUUCUGAACAUCAUACAUGUGUAUUCAACUGCCUACUCAACCUCUCCACUUAAUGUGCUACAGAUAGCCCAAACUCAAUAUAUUUGAAACUGAACUCACAAUCCUGUGCUAACCCUGCCUUUCCUACAGACUGUCAUAACCCAAUAGAGUAUAAAGCUGUUGCUUAUAAAGUUAAUGUCAGAAAUCUGGGAGUCUUUGAACAUCUCUUCCUCUCCUCAUCUUGUUCCACUCACAUCUAAGUAAUCACCAAAUGCUAUUAAUUGUAUUACCUGCUUGGUUUUUAAUCUACUUCAUUCAUUCUGCCCAAUACCACCCUAAAGUCAAAAACACCAUCAUCUGGUCAAAUGCUUUAACCUAAGUAGCCUUCCUCUUUUUCUUUAAAAAAAAUUUUUUUGUAAUUGAAUAAUUCUCAUACCAUAUGGGUUACCCUAAAAUUUACAAUUUAGUAGUUCUUAGCUUAUUCAAGAUUCAAACAUUAGUGGUACAUAUCUGGUAUUUUUGCCAUAAGCAUCUUUGCUGUAGACAUUUUUGCUGCAUAGCUAAGUGGCUUUAGAGCAAUUUUGCCUUAAAACAUAAGAUAACUGGUUGACAGUUUGGUUUCAAAUGAUUGACACUUAGUUUCAUUUCUCCAUUGACACAGUUCUCCCAUUUUUAUAUUCCAUAAAUCCUAGCCCUCAUAAGGAUCGACACAAUGACAAGUAGAUAUGGUAGUAUUAAAAUAGUGGAUGAAAACUGUAUAUCAACUUGAUGGGAAAUAUGGUGAUAAAACUUACCGGAACUGUUAAAUAAGAAUGUAAAGACAGAUUGCAUACUAUACCAGAAAAUGAUAACUCACAAAGCUCAGUUAUAAUUGAGUAUUUGGAAACUGAUACCUCUUUUUUUUCCUUUUUUUGUGCUUUUCAGGGCUGCACCCACGGCGUAUGGAGGUUCCCAGGCUAGGGGUCUAAUCAGAGCUAUAGCUGCCGGCCUACACCAUAGCCACAGCAACACCAGAUACGAGCCUCGUCUGCAACCUACAUCACAGUUCAUGGCAGCGCCGGAUCCUUAACCCAAUGAGCAAGGCCAGGGAUCGAACCCGCAAUCUCAUGGUUCCUAGUCGGAUUUGUUUCUGCUGUGCCACAGUGGGUACUCCUGAUACCUCUCUUAAUGAAAGAAGAAAGUUUAGUGAAAAAGAAAAGGUGCUAUGCCGAAUGAGGAGAGACAUCAACUGCAAAAUAACAAAGUAAAAUGUAUGUGUAAAAUACAUUCUCUUACAUCAUAGUACAAUUAUCAAAAUCAAGAAAUUAAUUUUGAUGUAAUAUUAUCUAAUCUGCUGACCUUAUUAAGAUUUAGCCAGUUGUCAAACUAACGUGUAUGUGUAUUUUACAAAAAAUAAAAAUAAAAGAACAGGGAGUUCCCGUCGUGGCGCAAUGGUUAACAAAUCCGACUAGGAACCAUGAGGUUGCGGGUUCGAUCCCUGCCCUUGCUCAGUGGGUUAACGAUCCGGCGUUGCCGUGAGCUGUGGUGUAGGUUGCAGACGCGGCUCGGAUCCCGCGUUGCUGUGGCUCUGGCGUAGGCCGGCGGCUACAGCUCCGAUUCAACCCCUAGCCUGGGAACCUCCAUAUGCCGCGGGAGCGGCCCAAGAAAUAGCAACAACAACAACAACAAAAAGACAAAAAUAAAUAAAUAAAUAAAUAAAAGAACAGAACAGAAAAAAUGGGGUUUUAGUGGUCUAGAAUCUAAUUCAGUUUCACACAUUGGAUUUAGUCACCAUGUCUCUUUGGUCUGCCUCAUUCUGGAACACUUCCUCACUCUUUGUCUUUAAUAAGACUAGAUGAUGACGGGAGUUUUGGUAUUCAUGAUGCAUCAGCAAUGGAGAGCUCUACUUGAUACUCAAAACAAGAGGAGAGGAUGGUGUCACUCACUGAGCAUGCAGUUUUGGCAUUUGGAGACUAUAUGGGAGCAACUUGUCUGUGCCUGCCUUGUGUGGAAUCAGUGCUCCCAAUGAAAUGCAAAACCUGCAGGCUGAUAGAGGAGGCAGCACACAACGUCCAGGGAGAGCAUUGAUAUGUUAAAUAGAAGAUAUCUUUUCUCUAGAAGAAAGUCUCGGCAACCCACUGUUAAGUAAGACUUUUUUUCGUUUUACAAAAUGGAUCAAGAUGCUUGUUUUGGAUGAAUUCAGUAAAAAUGUUGAGCCAAAGGAUUAAAGGUCAAAUCCAUGAGAUUUACCGGAAAUCAAAUCUGGAUUCAGGCUGUAUUGUUUUCUGCCUUAAUGCUAAUCGAUAUAUUGAAAAUCAUCAAAAAGUUCCCAAGAGAUCCAUUUCAAAUUCCGGUGAAGAAGGAAGAACUGAACUUUGAAAAGGCCAAAAUGUUACAAUAAUUUUGAAAGAGGAAUUGUUCAGAGUUGAUUUGGGAGGAAAGCAAUGGCCGUAAGUGUUGAAGAAGACAAGGAGGUUCUUUGUGAUACUGAUACUUUCUACAGUACUGCAGUGGAGGAAACGCCAGUGGGUAUGACGGACCUUAUUAAAUCCUGGGAUGAAAUGGUUUUGAAUGUGAUGCUUGCUGUUGCAGUGCAGGUGAUCAUGAUGUGCACUGUGCUUCUUUUGCAGGGGGUGGGGGGGUUGCGGGAGGAAUAUUUGAAGCUUGUUUCAAUGCUCAUAACGGAUCAAAAAUAUAGAUUUUGCUGCAAAGCAACUUUAGUCAUGAGCUCUUUUGAGGAAAGUCAUUGCCUUUAUCCUCUUUAGAGUUAGAUUGUUGGUUGGGUCUAAGGGAUUGUGAACAUCUUCCUUAGCAAUUUAUUUCCUAGUUAUCUAAAUAAUAAUUAUAUUGAGUAUUUGUUAUCAUCUAAUAAUAUACUUACAGACUGAAAGAUAUGUGCCUUCAGUGUUUAAACUAGUGUAUCUGCCAUUAUUGUGUUAGUCAUCAGGCUGAGUAGAAUGAACUUUAAAAUUAUUUUUUAAGAAAAUAUUUGAAUUCAUUUUGUUUGGUAUCAUUUUUAUUCAGUAAGGCAUUUAUUUUGUUAGUGGUAAGUGUAAACUAGAGUCUUUUGCUAAGCACCAGCAACAAUCAUAUCCUAUGGUUAAAUCUCAGAAAAAUCGCUAUAUUGCAUAUUGAAUGUUCAGCAAAUUACAAUGAAGUAUAUUUUUCU